rnacentral:rRNA from 1 species
AGUAAUGUCUGGGGAACUGCCUGAUGGAGGGGGAUAACUACUGGAAACGGUAGCUAAUACCGCAUAACGUCGCAAGACCAAAGAGGGGGACCUUCGGGCCUCUUGCCAUCGGAUGUGCCCAGAUGGGAUUAGCUAGUAGGUGGGGUAAUGGCUCACCUAGGCGACGAUCCCUAGCUGGUCUGAGAGGAUGACCAGCCACACUGGAACUGAGACACGGUCCAG